rnacentral:rRNA from 1 species
AGCGAACGCUGGCGGCAGGCUUAACACAUGCAAGUCGAGCGGGCAUCCUUGUGGUGUCAGCGGCAGACGGGUGAGUAACGCGUGGGAACGUGCCCUUCGGUUCGGAAUAACUCAGGGAAACUUGAGCUAAUACCGGAUACGUGCGAGAGCAGAAAGGUUUAUCUGCCGAAGGAUCGGCCCGCGUCUUAUUAGCUAGUUGGUGAGGUUACGGCUCACCAAGGCGACGAUCAGUAGCUGGUCUGAGAGGAUGAUCAGCCACACUGGGACUGAGACACGGCCCAGACUCCUACGGGAGGCAGCAGUGGGGAAUAUUGGACAAUGGGGGCAACCCUGAUCCAGCCAUGCCGCGUGAGUGAUGACGGCCUUAGGGUUGUAAAGCUCUUUUCUCCGGGACGAUAAUGACGGUACCGGAGGAAUAAGCCCCGGCUAACUUCGUG